UGCCAGACUCCUACGGGAGGCAGCAGUGGGGGAUAUUGCACAAUGGGGGGAACCCUGAUGCAGCGACGCCGCGUGGGUGAAGGAGUAUUUCGGUAUGUAAAGCCCUAUCGGCAGGGAAGAAGCAAGACGGUACCUGACUAAAAAGCCCCGGCUAACUACGUGCCAGCAGCCGCGGUAAUACGUAGGGGGCAAGCGUUAUCCGGAUUUACUGGGUGUAAAGGGGGCGCAGACGGCAGCGCAAGCCAGGAGUGAAAGCCCGGGGCCCAACCCCGGGACUGCUCUUGGAACUGCGCGGCUGGAGUGCAGGAGGGGCAGGCGGAAUUCCUGGUGUAGCGGUGAAAUGCGUAGAUAUCAGGAGGAACACCGGUGGCGAAGGCGGCCUGCUGGACUGCGACUGACGUUGAGGCCCGAAAGCGUGGGGAGCAAACAGGAUUAGAUACCCCAGUAAUC
rnacentral:rRNA from 1 species